rnacentral:ncRNA from 2 species
UUUGCGACGUCAGGAGAGAGCCUGCCCGGUGAGGCAGGCCGCCGAAGGCGCAGCGUAGCUGAUCGCAGCCAUUUGAACGCUCAGGCAAAAGGACUGACAAACGUCA